CACGUAGGGCGCAAGCGUUAAUCGGAAUUACUGGGCGUAAAGCGUGCGCAGGCGGUUAUGUAAGACAGGUGUGAAAUCUCCGGGCUUAACCUGGGAACUGCAUUUGUGACUGCAAGGCUAGAGUACGGUAGAGGGGGAUGGAAUUCCGCGUGUAGCAGUAAAAUGCGUAGAUAUGCGGAGGAACACCGAUGGCGAAGGCAAUCCCCUGGACCUUUACUGACGCUCAUGCACGAAAGCGUGGGGAGCAAACAGG
rnacentral:rRNA from 1 species